rnacentral:rRNA from 1 species
AUGAACGCUAGCGGCAGGCCUAAUACAUGCAAGUCGGACGGGAUAGGAGAGCUUGCUUUCCUUGAGAGUGGCGCACGGGUGCGUAACACGUAUGUAACCUACCUUCGUCAGGGGGAUAGCCUCUCGAAAGAGAGAUUAAGACCGCAUAACAUAAUUGAAUGGCAUCAUUUAAUUAUCAAAUAUUUAUAGGACGAAGAUGGGCAUGCGGAACAUUAGCUAGUUGGUGUGGUAACGGCAUACCAAGGCUACGAUGUUUAGGGGAUCUGAGAGGAUGACCCCCCACACUGGUACUGAGACACGGACCAGACUCCUACGGGAGGCAGCAGUAAGGAAUAUUGGUCAAUGGACGGAAGUCUGAACCAGCCAUGCCGCGUGCAGGAAGACGGCCCUACGGGUUGUAAACUGCUUUUGCAGGGGAAUAAACCUUCGUAUGUAUACGAAGCUGAAUGUACUCUGAGAAUAAGGAUCGGCUAACUCCGUGCCAGCAGCCGCGGUAAUACGGAGGAUCCAAGCGUUAUCCGGAUUUAUUGGGUUUAAAGGGUGCGUAGGUGGUUUAUUAAGUCAGGGGUGAAAGACGGCAGCUUAACUGUCGCAGUGCCUUUGAUACUGAUGAACUUGAAUGAACUAGAGGUAGGCGGAAUGUGACAAGUAGCGGUGAAAUGCAUAGGUAUGUCACAGAACACCAAUUGCGAAGGCAGCUUACUAUGGUUUUAUUGACACUGAGGCACGAAAGCGUGGGGAUCAAACAGGAUUAGAUACCCUGGUAGUCCACGCCCUAAACGAUGAAUACUCGAUGUUGGCGAUAUACGGUCAGCGUCUAAGCGAAAGCGUUAAGUAUUCCACCUGGGGAGUACGCCCGCAAGGGUGAAACUCAAAGGAAUUGACGGGGGCCCGCACAAGCGGAGGAGCAUGUGGUUUAAUUCGAUGAUACGCGAGGAACCUUACCCGGGCUUGAAAGUUAGUGAAUGGAGCAGAGACGCUCCAGUCCUUCGGGACACGAAACUAGGUGCUGCAUGGCUGUCGUCAGCUCGUGCCGUGAGGUGUUGGGUUAAGUCCCGCAACGAGCGCAACCCCUAUGUUUAGUUGCCAGCAUGUAAAGGUGGGGACUCUAAACAGACUGCCUAUGCAAAUAGAGAGGAAGGAGGGGACGACGUCAAGUCAUCAUGGCCCUUACGUCCGGGGCUACACACGUGCUACAAUGGGCAGUACAGAGGGCAGCUACCUGGUAACAGGAUGCCAAUCUCCAAAAGCUGUUCACAGUUCGGAUCGGGGUCUGCAACUCGACCCCGUGAAGUUGGAUUCGCUAGUAAUCGCGUAUCAGCAAUGACGCGGUGAAUACGUUCCCGGGCCUUGUACACACCGCCCGUCAAGCCAUGGAAGCUGGAAGUACCUGAAGUCGGUAACCGCAAGGAGCCGCCUAGGGUAAAGUCGGUAACUGGGGCU